rnacentral:lncRNA from 1 species
AUGGAAUUUUUAUGGAAUUUUUGGGAUAAUUCAGGUUGGGAUCCGGGCUGGGUUUGGGGUGAAUUUUGGGAAUUUUUUGGGGGAAUAUUCCGGAUUCUGAUCCCGGAAUUCCUGUCAGGAUUCCUGGUGCUCCACGUGGACGAGGAGCAGGGGCAGCAGCUGGACCUGGACGAGCUCAUCUCCGCCCUGAAGCUGCUCCUGAAGGAUCCAAAUCCUGGUCUUGUUCCCAAUCCUGAUCCUUAUCUGGAUCCUGAUCCUGAUCCCAGUCCUUAUCUGGAUUCUGAUCCCAAUCCUGAUCCUGAUCCCAGUCCUUAUCUUGAUCCUCACCCUGAUCCCGAUCCAGAUCCCGAUCCCGGUCCUUAUCUGGAUCCUGAUCCCGAUCCCAAUCCUGAUUUCAAUCCCAAUCCCAAUCCUGGUCCUGGUCUUUACCUGGAUCUUCAUCCCAAUCCCAAUCCUGAUCCCAAUCCUGACCCUGACCCUGAUCCCGAUCCCAAUCCUGACCCUGAUCCCGAUCCUGAUCCCGAUCCCAAUCCCGAUCCCAAUCCUGACCCUGACCCUGAUCCCGAUCCCAAUCCUGACCCUGAUCCCGAUCCCAAUCCCGAUCCAGAUCCCAAUCCCGAUCCCAACCCUGAGUCCAACCAAUCCUGAUCCCGAUCCCGGCCCUGAUCCCAAUCCCGGUCCUGAUCCCGAUCCCUUCUCUGCCGUUCCAGCCCUGAAGCUGCUCCUGAAGGAUCCCGACCCCUCCGUGCGGAUCAAGGUGGCCGAAACCCUGGGACGCCUCGUCCGGCUCCUCUGAAUCCCAGAAUUCCCAAAAUUCCCAGGAAUUCCCGGCUCCAAAACCCUGGGACGCCUCGUCCGGCUCCUCUGAAUCCCAGAAUUCCCAAAAUUCCCAGGAAUUCCCGGCUCCAAAACCCUGGGACGCCUCGUCCGGCUCCUCUGAAUCCCAGAAUUCCCCAAAUUCCCAGGAAUUCCCGGCUCUGCUGGAUCCGGGAUCCAUUCCCGCCCCUCCAAUCCCGCUCUGCUGCUUCCCGAUGGAAAAUCGGGAUCCCGGAAUUCCCAGAAUUCCCAGAAGAAUUCCCAGAAUUCCCCCCUGUACAGAGACUCUUUUUAAAUAAAGCUUUGGCCUCCGGAUCCGGCUCUGGAAUU